CGACCGACCCGCCGCCAUCACCGAUUCCCGGCAGCCAACACGGCAGGGGCGGGGGCGGGGCUGCGGGGGCGUGGCCGCGCGCUGAUUGGCUGCGGCGGCGUUCUCUAAACGCGGUGCGCGCGCAGAUCGCCGUGUUGGCUGCCGGGAACCGGUGAUGGCGGCGGGGCCUGCGGUUCGCUCUGAGUGUUGGUCGUUCCCACACCCAGAAUGGAAUCUGGAGGCAGCAGGAUGUGCACAGUGCUCCCAUUUCCUACAGUGCAAAGGGGCUGCAGGGAAUGAUUCCCCUGCUCUUGCAAAUCUGCCAAAACCUGCAGGGCACACAAGUGGGAGCUUCAGGAAUUUGCUGGCCUUGGGAGUGGAGCUCACAGGGUAUUGAGAGGAACAUAUCCCUCAAAUACAAUCUCUGUGCAUACACAAUAUCUGUCUGGACAGGCAGAUAAAGCAAUAAUCAGAUAUAUUCUGUAUCAUAUUGCUGCCCUCAGGAAACCCCCCCCGCCUUGCUCCAGCUAAAGCCGUGGAAUUUGUGUUUGUUUCCCUUGGGUUCAGGGUCAGGCUGUGCCUGUGUCCAGCCCAGAGGCUCAGAAAAGCAUUUCUCCCAUCCCACUGCAAUCUGCUGCUGCAGACAGGACCCAGGCACUGGUGGCACUGGGAGUGAACAGCAGAGUGUUUCCAGGGGCUCUCUGAAGGAUCACAAGUGUCCAAAGAAACCAGCAAAAGUGUCCACAAAAGUCCCAGUCCUUCAUCCCUGAAUGAGCUCGUUCAGCCCAGGAAAAACUGUCUGAGUUUUAUUUCCAUGGAAGGAGGUUUUUCCCACUUUAACGCCGGUUUAGUUCCAAACUGGUUUCUUCAUUUCCUCCUCCCAGUUUCCCUGAAGGACACUGACAGGAGCCAUGGACACUGACAGGGAUCACAGAGUUUGUCCCUUGGCCAUACAGCUCCUGUUGUUUGGCAGCACAGGAGAGGUUCAUU